UCCCCUUAAGUUAGGUUUUUGAUGGUACAAGUAACCACUAAGUAGGCUACAAUAUUUGGAAUUUUUCAUGGAUCAUGUUUAAUUGUCCCCCUUAAUUGUGGGUGAAGUGUCUCAAUUUUUCUCAAUACUUGCAAGAAAAAAACAUAUUUGAUGUGACAUUUAAUUAAUUAUAACCAAAGUUUCCAUCGUUGGAUUAAUUGGCCAUUAAUUAUGAUGAGUUAAUGUAUAGGUUUAAUGCCAACAUUUGAUGCAAUGCAUGUGUUUGUUGUGCUUUAGGGUGCAUAUAUGGUCAAACAUUACCAUUAAAUAAAAAAUCUAAAUUGUUAAAAUUUACGUAUUUUCGAUCAUGUUUUAUAGGUUCAACUUUGGUCAUCGGAACGUUAAAAAUUUCUUGAUUGAAUGAUAGAUGACUCAC
rnacentral:lncRNA from 1 species